AGCGAACGCUGGCGGCAGGCCUAACACAUGCAAGUCGAACGAACCUUUCGGGGUUAGUGGCGGACGGGUGAGUAACCCGUGGGAACGUGCCUUUAGGUUCGGAAUAACUCAGGGAAACUUGUGCUAAUACCGAAUGUGCCCUUCGGGGGAAAGAUUAAUCGCCUUUAGAGCGGCCGGCGUCUGAUUAGCUAGUUGGUUGAGGUAAUGGCUCACCAAGGCGACGAUCAGUAGCUGGUCUGAGAGGAUGAUCAGCCACAUUGGGACUGAGACACGGCCCAAACUCCUACGGGAGGCAGCAGUGGGGAAUCUUGCGCAAUGGGCGAAAGCCUGACGCAGCCAUGCCGCGUGAAUGAUGAAGGUCUUAGGAUUGUAAAAUUCUUUCACCGGGGACGAUAAUGACGGUACCCGGAGAAGAAGCCCCGGCUAACUUCGUG
rnacentral:rRNA from 1 species